UGGGUAUGUUCUAGAAACCCUCUUUCUUGAUGCUCUCUUCUCUAGCCGAGAGUGAGAGGGUAAUUUCACCUUUUUAGUUCUUUUGGCUGCCAGAUUUUCAAGGAAGAAUAAUUCAAUAUCCAGUUGAAUUUGCUUGUGUUGAUUAGGACAAGUCAAAUUCUUUCCUUCGUCUACACUAGAGAUAAGGAAGAGAAGGACAAGGUGACUAUGGAGCAAGUCACAGUGGGAGUUGAACAUCAACAAAUUGGGUUGAGGCGGUGUAAGGUUGACUAGCUGAAUUUUAAGUUGCAGUUCUAUUUUGUGGAUUAGUGAAAGGGAGUGUAGACGUAUAUCUUUUGGGUGAGCUGCCAAUGUAUUAUGUAUAGUUAGUCUCUUUAGUCUGUAAAUGAUCAUUUUGCUGCAUUGUAAAUUAAGAAGACGUAGGCCACAAUGGGUUAGUGUCUCUUAAUCUCACACCUCGAGUUUUGGGGUGUGACAGUGAAGGUCCAUGCAAUAAGGGCUGAAAAAAUAUUAAGGUAAAAACCGUUGUUUUAGAAGAACUUAGAUUGAGUGAUGAAUAUUGUGAACGGAUUUGUACGAGUUCCUCCUUCAGAUUCCAUAUUCAAGGCAUGUUGUAUCUUGUUUCAACAUAAAAAAAUAGAUUGAAUCAACAAAAGUAUAUGAAUUCAAUAAAAUCAAAAGUUAAUCAGAUAAGAGUAAUUGAAACGCAAU